rnacentral:hammerhead_ribozyme from 1 species
GUACUGAUGAAGAGUCGCAAACUAGGACGAAACAGCUGUUCAGUAC